GUGUCGUAAGAUGUAUUUUAAAAAUCAAAACUUUUUAGUUAUAAGUAUGUUUUCACUUAAGUAUUUAAAAGAUGAUCUUCUCUUUAUUAGAGAUGAAAUUUUGAUGAGAUACUAAUACUUACAUAGUUCUCAGUUUUCUCAAUCAAAUACUCCUUGCUACUUAUUCAGAGCAUAUGUCUCAAAACAUUGAGGUCACAAACAAAUAAAAUAAAAGUAUUAUAACUUUAAAAAAAUAAAAUGAUAAUUUUGUGCCAGUUUAUAGAUUUUUAUUUGCAUUUUAGGGGUUCCAAUUUAACUAAAUACAUCAAGACAUACCUUGUCUCCAUGACUAUCUUAAUUUAAAUAAUAUAAAAAUCUUAAGUACUAUAGUACUAUGUGAAUUCAGAUUCCCUUAGUCAAUUGAGUAAAGGGAAAUCAACACAAAUGAAGGGAAACUUGGUAUCCCCCACUCCCUUGGUUAUUCUGUAGACUAAUUUGUCACAGUUGGGUUUGAUAUUUUUCUCAAUGUUACAUGAAGAGAUCCAUGAUUUAUACUGAAGUUUAGAGCUAUAUGGUGGUAUCUGUAAGCUUAGUAAAAAUAUACAUGAUCAAAUGUUGCAGAAAUAAUUAUGUUACAUACCAAACUCCUACUCCUAGAAGUUUCAAGGACAGGAGUGUAGCUGUGUACCACUUACCUAAGUAUAAUCUACAAGUAACACUAAUGAAACUCCAUGAAAAUUCAAAUAUUAUUGUACAAAAACCAUUAUUUUCAAUCUAUUUUUUAAAUUGCAAACUAUAAAUACCAAGAAACAUUAUCGUUAACUUUAUGUUGAAAAAUUAUACUAAAUUUUCAAUGACAUCUUUAGCUAGGGAAACUUAAAACCUAUUUUUUAGUUCGUAAAAAAAAUUAUAUCAUAUACAUAAGAAACUAUUUCCAGAACUAGUAUAGGAGUUUUAAAAGUCAUAUUGAAUGGUAUAUAUUGUUCAAAAUAAAUUUUGUUUGGAAAUUGGGCCGCACUUUGGUAUCUUAUCAACUAAUUUUCAGUCAUUAAAAAAUUUAGAAAGAGAUGAACUCAUAAGUUUUAUUAGAAGGAGCAGUUAUGUAGAAUGAAGUGACUACUUUUUAUAAGAUGCAGUGUAAUUCCAAGAAACAACACGUAAUGACUUGUCUUAGGAGAAAGAAGUUGAUUAACAAAGCUGAACAUUCACACAAGGCAAUGUGACACAUAACUCAAAAUGCCGUUGCAAAAACGGUAGUUUAUAAAUGGAGAUCUGAUGCUGCUCUACCAUAAUUAGUGCUGCUUUCACGACUGAGAAGAAAGACUUUCCAGGCUUGACAACAGCAGUCGAAGUAGAGAAAAAGGCUACGCAGCUAUGACUGAGGGCUUAAUUUUCCCAGGUCAGAAUUUCUUCAUUUGAGGCAUAAGCAAAAUCCAAUGUAACAUUAAGGAAAGCAAUUUUAAGCAAAAUAUGAUGACCAUACACUAAAAUGUAAAUAGCUAUCUCAAAGAGAAAGCUGCGUUGGGCUAUGAAGCUAGAGGCUACACGUCAAUGAAAUGUUCAUCAACUUUUUAGACAUUGACAUAGUGGAAAUUUAAUAAAAGAAAAAGAUGUAAUGAAAAAUUGAAGAUUCUAAAAUUAUUUUAUGUUGCUUUUAACAAUCUUUCUAGUGGUAUCUUUUGAAGAUAGCUAAAAUUAUUUCAAUAAAAACACACAAACGAGAAUGUUAGAAUAUUUUUCCUUAAGAACAUUACAAUUGGCAGCUUCUUAGUGAGUAGUAAAGAAGCUUUUGGGGUUCUUUAAUUUGGCUAAAGAACAAAUUUUCCAUUUGUGGAGAAUGUUAUAUAAAUAUCAAUAUUUAUGUUAAUAUGACUGACUUUUGGAUAAACAUAUCCUUAUACAUACAUCUGAACACUAUUUGCCUCUUAGAGUUAAAUGCUUUUGAAGUUGGCACAAAUCAGGGACUCCACCACUGAUCAAAACCUUUUCGGAAUUGCCUUAAAUCCAACCGGAGGCAUUUUUUAACCUUGCACUUAAAGAUACUCAAAUAAGAAAAUUUCCAUCCUUUGAGAAUUUUUAAGAAUAGCUGAAAAACACUUAAUGUUACUAAGUUUGGUACACAAAAAAGCUGAUUAGAAUAGCUCACAAGACUGGAAUAUAAAACCAGACUAAUUUUAUCUGUGCAAAAUUAGAUACUACUGAAAGUCAUUUUUGUGAAAACUGUGUUUCCUCCGAAAUAAGACCUAGACAAAAAAUAAUCAGCCUUGAAAACUAGAGAUCAAAAAUGCUUGCCCCAGGCAGCCUGUCCUUACCAUGCCUGCCAUUGCUAUUCCCCUGUUCAGAGGCCGCUCUGUCAGCAGGUAAGGUGAAUAGGCUGACUGGGGCUGGCAUUUUAAUCUCUAGUUUUUCAAGGCUGAUUAUGUUCUAGUUAGGUCUUAUUUUCUGGGAAACAGAGAAGAGUAAGAUUAGCUGGAUUUCUGUCCUGAACACCCAGCUUCAUAAAAUAUGAAAAAGUAAUGAGAUGAGGAAUUAAUUUUGUUUACUAGAACUUUCCUGACUGGGUGAAUAACAUGUGCUUAAAAUAUUUCGAUACCUGGGUGGGGUGAAAUACACUACUAAAGAUAUGUUUUGGUAAUAACAGAAGUAGAUAAAUACAUUUCUUAGGAGGACUUUGGUCUACCAGAGGUCUUUAGUGCCUCCUCUAUUCUCCUCCAUUUUGUCUUUCACUAACAAUUAACAAAUAUGUUCUGUAUGAGCCCCAAAUUAUUGUAAUUUCCACAUGUCUUGCGGUAACAUACAAAUAUUUUUAAAACUUAAAAUAGUAUUAGAAGUAUACAAUUUCCAAAAAGUAACACUAUCAAUAAAGUUUUUAAUGGAAGUUUUGAAAAUGUGAAUAACUUUGUUCAUAUCAUUAAAAGAAAAUAUAUAGUCCAUUUGCACAGAAGAAUUCAAUUCCUAAUUUAAUAAAGCAUCUUAUUAAAGAAAAGGCAGAAUUAUUUGUCCAAAAUUUGGUCCUGUGCAUUGCUAUAUUUCAAGGAUUGUGGAGUAAGCUGAGAUCAUGAGCAUUAAAUGUGUUUAAACUUUUCUGUGUCUGAACUUUUGUGGGUGACUAGGUUCUGAGACUCAGAUUGUAGAUUCCAGGACAUCCACAAGCAUGGGGACCCAAAAGAGAAGUUAGCAAGCUCUGUACUGUUUAACAUGAAGUUGGGUAAGUGUGGGACAGGGGGCGAACAGACUGUCAGAUUGAAUCUCCAGGUAUCUACGUGUGCCAGGGAAUUGAGGAAGAUCAAACACAUGUGGAGCACCUACUGUGUCCUAGGAAAUACAUUAGGUCCAUGAGGUCUACAGACUCUGAUUCCAAGGGUCUCACUGUCUAGGGAGAAAGAUAGACCAAGAAAGAAAAACUUUGAUAAGAUUCUUAGCAUAUUUUUUUUCAUUUUUAGAAAGCAUUUCAGAAUUCUAUAUUCACUUGGUGGACUUGUCUUGAAUCUUUUACACUAGCAUAUUCUUCCCUCAUGUUGAAGAUCAACUGAAAAUAUAAGGUGGCCCUUAAGUCUCAGAGUGCAUACAUAGCACAUGAGUUAUAUUGUUUUCUGGUACAAUUUUAAAAAAUGAUCUUUGGUUAGUAAAUAUGUGGUUAAAAAUGUUAAAAAUAGAAAUUAAUAUAUCAUAUAUGGAGAGAAGAAUAAAAAAUAGCUUGGUGGAUAGUGACCAUAGAAUUCUAUAACCAUAUCUAUCAUAGCUUUUACAAAAUUAUGCAAAGUUUUUGAGUCUGUAUGCCAAAUUGAGUAUGUUACUCAGUUUUUUAUGAGUAAAUAUUUCUGUCUUCACCCUAUGGCUGUGUGACUUGCCAGUUUGUUUAGUCAGCCACUAGGAGGUACUGCAUAAUUGUGGGUGUAUAUAUAUUAUUAAUGUCUGAAAUUUUUGAUAACUAAACUUUUUUUUUUCAAAAUCUAAUUUAGGUAUAUUUUUUCAGAAGAAAUUUAACUCUUUGAUCCUAUGUGAUUUACUCAUGGCUAAAAAGCAUUAGCUUCAUUGCUGGAAUGCUGCAGCUGUUUACCAGCUUCCAGCAACUCUAAAGACUAGUUUUAAGACAGGAAACCAGAAAGAGUAGUGUAUUUAAUUGGAAUUUCAGAGGAUAUUUAGAAAAGCAUCUAAAUGACUUUGAUACAAAAUUAUCUAGUUAAAACUCUCAUGGAUUAAAAAAUGUAAGCUAUAAAACUACUGUAUUAUUAAUGGUACAUUAAUUGUUGAAAACAGUUCUGCAAAUGGGUGAUUGUAUCAGUUUUUCCUCUGUAUUGAUUUCCAGUAACCAUUUAUAAUUAAUGCAGGAGAGAGGCUGCUUGUAAAUUAAAUCCAAAAGGCAUAAUUCUGAAAAGUAUAGUACAAUUGUAUCAUGUCUUUGCUAGACACCGGGGGGUUCUACGUGAAUUAGUAAUGGUGGGAAGGUGUCGUUUCAAGGUUAUAUGUAAUAUAUUUAUUAAGACUGUUUAAAUCAAAUCAUAGUUUUCUGCUUUAUUUACCUAAUAAUAUCAAAGAUUGUCUACUUCCACUCUAAGCAGGCUUCCAUUUAUCAUAGGACCUUUUUUGAAAAUGUAAGUCAUUCAAUUUUCUGCAAAUAUGUAAAUAUAAGUGGGAAACAUCCCAAAAGUGAAGAUUUGGACAUUUGGAUGGAGG
rnacentral:lncRNA from 1 species